UCCCAAAACCCUAGGAGGUGCCCCCCACCUCCCCAUAGCCGUCAUUUGGUACCCUGGGGGCGCCCACCUCCCCCUCUGGUCGACCUUCCCCAUGCCUGCCCUACUGCAGACCUAGGAAGAAGAAGGGAAGAAGAAGAAAGGGAAAGAAGGAAGCGGAGGGAAUUGAGGUGAAGAAGGAAAUGAGGCGUUUUGGUUGCCGUUGCCCAUGGAGGCUUAGGUGAUGCCACUUCGGAAUGCAACUAGAGUUCAUCUCAUCAUCGGUGAAGGCAAGUAAACAUAGCGUCUUUUCAGGUACUUGCUGUGACAUGUUUGCAUGAAGGGAUGGGAUUAGCUACACAGUCGCACGACAUGAUCUCACUUAGUCAUGAUUAUUGUAAUAUCUUGAUAAGAAUAUUUGUGUUUAGACAUAAUGGGUUAAUUAAAUACUAGAGUUGUUGGCCAUUGAUUAGCCACUUUUUCAAGCCUAUCCCUACAUGUCAGUCAUUUGUUGUAUCAUAACCUUAAUCUAUAUGUUGAUGCUUCCGCGAUGUUUUCUUGUCUAA